rnacentral:rRNA from 1 species
UACGAAGGGGGCUAGCGUUGUUCGGAAUCACUGGGCGUAAAGCGCACGUAGGCGGAUUUGUAAGUCAGGGGUGAAAUCCCGGGGCUCAACCUCGGAACUGCCUUUGAUACUGCGAAUCUAGAGUCCGAUAGAGGUGGGUGGAAUUCCUAGUGUAGAGGUGAAAUUCGUAGAUAUUAGGAAGAACACCGGUGGCGAAGGCGGCCCACUGGAUCGGUACUGACGCUGAGGUGCGAAAGCGUGGGGAGCAAACAGG